rnacentral:rRNA from 1 species
GACGGGCUGCUUAAUACAUGCAAGUCGAGCGGACAGAUGGGAGCUUGCUCCCUGAUGUUAGCGGCGGACGGGUGAGUAACACGUGGGUAACCUGCCUGUAAGACUGGGAUAACUCCGGGAAACCGGGGCUAAUACCGGAUGGUUGUCUGAACCGCAUGGUUCAGACAUAAAAGGUGGCUUCGGCUACCACUUACAGAUGGACCCGCGGCGCAUUAGCUAGUUGGUGAGGUAACGGCUCACCAAGGCGACGAUGCGUAGCCGACCUGAGAGGGUGAUCGGCCACACUGGGACUGAGACACGGCCCAGACUCCUACGGGAGGCAGCAGUAGGGAAUCUUCCGCAAUGGACGAAAGUCUGACGGAGCAACGCCGCGUGAGUGAUGAAGGUUUUCGGAUCGUAAAGCUCUGUUGUUAGGGAAGAACAAGUGCCGUUCAAAUAGGGCGGCACCUUGACGGUACCUAACCAGAAAGCCACGGCUAACUACGUGCCAGCAGCCGCGGUAAUACGUAGGUGGCAAGCGUUGUCCGGAAUUAUUGGGCGUAAAGGGCUCGCAGGCGGUUUCUUAAGUCUGAUGUGAAAGCCCCCGGCUCAACCGGGGAGGGUCAUUGGAAACUGGGGAACUUGAGUGCAGAAGAGGAGAGUGGAAUUCCACGUGUAGCGGUGAAAUGCGUAGAGAUGUGGAGGAACACCAGUGGCGAACGCGACUCUCUGGUCUGUAACUGACGCUGAGGAGCGAAAGCGUGGGAGCGAACAGGAUUAGAACCGGGUUAGCCA